UCAUCCAUUCUCACCUGUACCUUCAAUCCCUUUCUCCCCGGACGAUGACCAUGGCCAGCACCACCUCUCCUCUCCUCGUCCUGCUCUCUGCCAUGGCGGUGGUGGCGCUCGUCGCAGCACCAGUCUCGUCGGCGGACCUGCCAUCCACCUUCGCGGACAUCGCGUCCAAGAUCCCCAACCCGUGGUCGGCCUUCAGGAACCUCACCGGCUGCCACUUCGGCGAGGAGCAGCAGGGCGUCGCCAAGCUCAAGGACUACCUCGCCCACUUCGGCUACCUCCCGGAGUCUUCCGGGUUCACCGACAUCUUCGACGCCGACCUGGAGGAGGCCAUCAAGGUGUACCAGCGCAACUUCGGCCUCAACAUCACCGGCGUGAUGGACGCGACCACGGUGGCCCAGAUGAUGGCGCCGCGGUGCGGCGUCGCCGACGUCAUCAACGGCACCUCCACCAUGGGCGCCUCGUCCCACGCCCACGGCCGGAACCUCUACUCCUACUUCCCGGGUUCCCCGUCGUGGCCGCGCUCCAAGAAGAGACUCACGUACGCCAUUACCGACACCGCCGCGACGACCAUCGACCGGGCGACGCUGAGCCGGGUGUUCGCGCGGGCCUUCGCGCGGUGGUCGGCGGCGACGACGCUCAACUUCACGGAGACCGCGUCGGCGCGGGACGCCGACAUCACCAUCGGGUUCCACGCGGGGGACCACGGCGACGGCGAGGCGUUCGACGGGCCGCUCGGCACGCUGGCGCACGCCUUCGCGCCGACGGACGGGCGGUUCCACCUGGACGCCGCCGAGGCGUGGGUGGCCGCCGGCGACGUGUCGCGGGCGUCCUCGGACGUGGCCUAUGACCUCGAGUCCGUGGCCGUGCACGAGAUCGGGCACCUCCUCGGGCUCGGCCACUCGUCGGAGCCCGGCGCCAUCAUGUACCCGAGCAUCACCCCGCGCACCAGGAAGGUGGACCUGGCAUCGGACGACGUCGUGGGAAUCCAGAGCCUGUACGGGAAUAAAUAGAGCAUUCUAAGUUCUCUUGCCACCAACACCAAGCAAUAUAUUUUACAGGAAAUUAAGCUGCAACUGCAAGCGAACAAUCAUCUUAUCAUGGCUGUAAUUUGUUAGUACCUUUCCAUUAAGAGUAAGUUUUGCACAAGUAGGGUUUUCAGGAUCAAUCUUCCCACAUGUCCCGAGAGGGAAUUCGCUCAGGGUGAAGGAGGUCCUUUCGUCCGCCAGUGCAUCUCGUGCAGUAGGAUCCAAAGUUGUCAGGUAGAAGUAUGGGAUUCCAUGGCCCUCACCAGGUAACCCAUCACUAUACGAAACUACAUUGGUGUACAUUCAAGAAGGCAAGAAUAAAGUUAACCAACCAGAAGAGAGUAUAUAUGUUGCCAGUUUGCAGUACUGAGACAAGAAGGAAUACCCAAAUGGAGCCCCGUUCAAAUCACUUGAUAUUGUGCUGCAAGAUGUGAUCAGGUAUUAGUGAAUAACCAACCAAAUAGAUUAUUGAUCUACAAUUAUCUCUGAGCAACAAACAGAAUAGAGCAAAUCUAUUAAAUUACAGUUCUACCACGCAAGGUAAAGAUUUGACCAAUACUAUGAUGCAGUGAUGCUAGUUAUGUGAUGUUCUACAAAUAAAUCAACUGUGGGUUCUCUUCAGUCAAUUUGCAUAUUGGGGUAGUGAUUUACUCAAAAUCUUCAUCUUUUAGGGAAAAUCGGGUCACUUGACGGUCAAAUCAGUCUUUAAACUUUCGAAAUCUGAAGUUCUGAACAGGACUGCGAACUCCAAAGCAAGCAAUAACAUGGUUCCGUGCAAUUCGUACACAUUCUCAGCACUUGCCGGCACUAGCUAGGAAUUCCGAAUUCGCAUCAACAAAUUUCCCAGCUACGCAGCGGUAGUUCCCAGCUUCCCAUUCGAUCAAACGAACACAUGCUGCUACCUCUAAGAAGAACACCUGUUGCUAAAGGAACUAGCUGCGGCACCAAAUCGCAGCGGUAAAAUAAGAGAAGACGGGUUUGGGCGGAACUGGAUGGGACCUGAGGACACCCCACGUGUUCUGUGCGGCGAGCCACCUCGCGGUGGCGGUAGCCUCGGAGGGGGCAGGCUUGUCGUCGACGAUCGGGCGGGCGGCUGAGGCCGGCGCCGGCGGCCGGAGGACGAGGAGGAAGGCGGCGGCGAGGGCGAGGCGGGCAGGGGAGAGCAUCGCGAUUUCUUGCUUUGGCUGUCAGCUAUAGUUGGCCAUCCGGGCCGCCCGGCAGCACGGACACUAUCUGGCACGGCACUAUAUGGCACGGCACUAUCUGGCACGAGUACUUAACCGUGCCGUGCCGUGUAGUGCCGUCGUGCCUAACUGUCGGCACAGGCACGGCACUAACAGGCAGUUAGCGUGCCGUGCCAGGCCACAGGGCACGGUGGCACUGCAGUGCCCGUGCCGGCCCUGGCACUAAGUGUGCCUACCACAAGUCCACAAUACCACUCUUUUUACACAGAAUUACAAGCACAAUACAAAACUAUUAAGAUUCACAAGUAGUGGAGAACUUAUCUUGUUGUAUUCACAAAUUUGUAACAAAGUCACAAGUCACAACCCAGUCACACAGUCAUAGAGAUAACAAAAUAACAUUUUAUUGGGAGCUUUAGUGCAAUGGCUGCCUCAUUAAAAACCUAUCUAGGUAAAACUCACCCUUGUGAGAAACCCUAGACAGGAAAAAAGAGUACAGCCCAGCUCCAAUUAUAAAGUUCAUCACAGUCCAUGAGUCCAGUACUUAAUAUUACAGUCGCAUUACAUAAAUGAUAACUAAUCAAGAUAAAGUUCUUCAAAAGCUUCUUCAAGUUCCUUGUCCUCCACCAUGUGUUGCAGUCUUGCUUCUGCAGCCUCCCAGUCUUUGAUGCAGGUGAGCAUCUCCACCAUGUCAGGCUUUAGCUUCCUCCGCCGCUCCUCGAUGAUCCUGCCAGUCAUAUUAAAAGUGGAUUCUAAAGAUAUGGUUGAAACAGGAACUGUUAAUAUAUCCUUAGCCAUGGUUGACAACACUGGAUAUGUGAGUUUGUGUUGAUGCCACCAGUUCAAGAUGUUAAAAUCAUCAUCUAAAUGAUUCACUGUGUCACAGUCCAAGUAAGAAACAAGUUCAGAAACAUUACCACCUGAAGAACUGGCAGCAUGCAAAAAGGCAGUUGCAGAUGUAUCUCUAGCCAUGCUUAGAGUAGCAACUAGAGAAUGCAUGCCACCAGCAGAACCAACAUCAUCAUCAUCAUAAAUUUCAUCCCAAGCAGACCUUUUCUUACCAGAUAGGUUAGGAGGUACAGUCCUCCUCAACCUAACACCUCCAUAUUUCUCCUCAUACUUGUUGUAGACAUCAGUAAGUCGAGCUCUAGUGCUAACUUGGUAAGCACUGUAAUCUGUACUGGUAAGGGUACCCAACCUCCUGAGCACUCUAUUGAAACCUUUCAUUUUAGCUCUAGGGUCCAGGAUGAAUGCAAAAGAAUAAAGCAAAGGUAUGUCCCUCCAGUAUUUGUUAUACUUGUCUAUCAUAGGUUGAACCACAUGUCUGAUGUGAGUAUCAUUAGCAUAAUUCUUUAAGUGCAUAGCAAUCUUAACAAGAUAAUGAAUCAUAAGUGGAGAUGUAGGAUAGUACACACCAGACAAUGUAACUGUAGCAUCAUAAAAAAGUUCAAGAAAUCUUAGCACUUUUUCUGCCAUAGCCCAAUUAUCAUCAGAUAAAAGCAACUGAUCACCUUCAACCCUAGGAUAUUGAGCAACUAUGAAAGUUGUGAAUGGGACCUUAUGAGGAAACAAAUGCUUAAGCAUUAGAUAUGUAGAAUUCCACCUAACUUCCAUGUCUAGCUGAAACUUUCUAGACCUAACACCAGUGGCAAUGCAAUAACUUUUAUAUGCAGCAAUUCUCUGAUUAGAUGAGUUUAAGAAAGAUAUUGCAAUUCUAAACUUCUCAAUCAAUAGCUUAAGAGCAGUUAGAGCCUCCUUAACAAUCAGAUUGAUCAACGGCGAGGGCGAGGCGGGCAGGGGAGAGCAUCGCGAUUUCUUGCUUUGGCUGUCAGCUAAUCGGGCUGGGGUGGGAGUCGUCGAGUUCGAUGUCUGAUGUCUCGGCUUCUUCAGCUUGUAGCGAAUCUCUUUCCCCCGUGGUGGAUGCGACGAGACUCGCCUGCAGUUGGUGCCCUGUGUUGAAUCACUGCCGUGUGGGUCUGGGUCCACAUGACAGUGAACCAACUGCAGAGGAUCCCUGCCCGGUGGAUGUGGAUCGGAUCGGACGAGCCGAACACAGCUGAUGAGCUGAAGCUGAGUGAUGGACUGGACGUCACGAGAUGCAUUUUUAUUUAUUAUAGGGGAAAAUCGUAAAAUCAAUUAACAUUACUUUGAAAUUCUCCCUCCAAAGUUGUUUUGUUGCAAAUGCACACCUCUUACUUCACUCUGAGGCAAAAACUGCGCAUUGCGUACUUGUCAAUUUCACUUUUUUCCCCUGAUGUCGCAAAUGAUUCGCGGAGGCAACUCAAAAUCAAAAUAAUAUAAUUGGCUCUUUUUUUGCAGUAUUUUCUUAACACAUAUUUGCAUAAUCCCAUUUAAUCCAGGGUAAAAGCUUUGGGGUAUGUUUUGGCUUGCAACUUUGCUACACUUGUUUAACUUGUGCCCAAGAUAAAUGACGCAAAGGUAGCCAAAGAAAAUCAUGCCAUAAUUUCAUGCCUAAGGAUCUAUUUGGGGGGGGGGGGAGUUACUAGUUGUUUAACAUUGUGGCAAAGUGAAAUGACGCACAACUUAGAGCUUUUGAACUUUUUUGAAAAGCUGUUGUUGGUUUUUUUUUCUAAAAAUCCAAUACAACUUUUAGAAAAUGUGUUUAGCUUUUUGGGGUCAAAAAGCUAAAAAAAACUAAAAAACUGAGCAUUUCAACUUCCUAUAUAAACUCAGCUUUUCCGAACUUCUAGUUUUUCGAAAACUGCACGGGAAGUUUGCUAUUUGUUUGAGCUUCUGGCAGAGGGUCUCAGUCAUAUCUAAAAGAAUCGUGCCAUAGCAUCAUUACCAAGGGUUUAUUUGGCAAAAAGGAUUAGAGCCUCUUUCAAACUAAAGGAUUCUCAAACGUAGAGAUAGAAAAAAGAAUAGGAUUUUGAGUUAGUUGGUAGUUGCAAUUCUACGGGCCAAUAGAAUACAAGCACUUUCCAAUCGAGGGUCCGGAGAUAUCACAUAAAAAAUAGGAAUGUAAGAAAAGAUAUAAACUCAAAGAGGUUGGACCCCACAUUAGAACUGUGGCGGAACCGUCCAAUUUAAACUGGUUUAAAUGCGUCUAAUUGCUGCCGACGCAACAAUUAUUCGAAACGUAUUUAAAACAGUGUAAAUCCGGUCGUCCGUCGAGUGUCCCUAGGACUCCUCGAAAGAUCCACGUUGUAUUUCAUAGCCAUACAUCAGGAUAGUAUCCGCGAUGGGAUAACAUCAACAAAUAUUACAUUUUACAUACAUAUAAAAGGUACGAGUUAUUACAGAGCAUAGAUUGAAGCAAACUUAACAGUGCAGUGUUAGACAGAGUUCUAAGAUUUAAAACAUAAACAGUUCAGGAGGAGAUGAGCAUUUAAAAACUUCUUCUUAAAGGUAUUGUGAGACUCAUAACAAUACCCUAGGACUUCGGGGCUUCCUCUUCUGUAGACUCCUGCGGAGCUUCUGAAAGAUAGCCAUAAGGGAUAACCCUGAGUACGGGGUACUCAGCAAGUCUUACCCGACUAACCAAUAUAAUAACUUUCUUUGGAUGUAUAUGAUAGCUUUUGGUGUACUUGGCUGAUACAACUUUUGCCGAAAAGCUUACUACAAGUGAUGCCUUAGUUUUAUCUUUUAUUUGGGUUAAGUUAUUACCUAACCAUUCUAGAUGAUGAGAAAAGAGUAAAUACAACAAUAAGGUAUUUAAGCCAUACAUCACUCAUUUAUCAGAAAGGUAUAUCAUUCAUGAAUUUACACUACGAUGCUCAACAGUGAUCAAGUGCAUUCAUAACCGAGAAUUGCGGCGAUCCGGAUCAAUUUACAUCCUGCAGGAGAGUACUCUGAUCACCAGUUUUAUACGACUGUCCAGGUCGUACAUAAUGACCUUUUGAUUAGCAAAAUCUAUGAUUGGGAAUAAGACUACCCGGACCCAGGGACGCACCCCCACAUGGGACCCCACGUCUGGCCCGAUCACCAUGUGAGUUUCAGGCUAUGCCCCUGCCAAUCUCCAGCACGUCAAGCGCGGGUACGAAGUAUUCCCGAUCAGAGAGUUUACUAACCUACUGGGCUUUACUGGUCCCAUACCCAGUAAGUGAUCAGAUGCUUAUCACUUGAUCAAAGGUUAAGACAACGAAUCGGGCCUUAACCAAAUUAAUCUAGCAGAUAGAACUACAUCUCUAGCUUCUGUCUGCUUCUCAAUUUCAAGUCAUCUUCCCAUAAAUAACAUGUAUGACUCAAAAGUUUCUCCUUAAGGUUGGUAAACCAAGUAUUUAAGCAACUUAAGCAAUUCUAGACUUGGGUAUCUUCUAAGGUUUGAACAAGUGGCAAAGAUGUCCUUAAAACAAGGCAUGAUCAUACACAAGAAUAGGUUUCAAGCAACUCCUAGACUUAGUGCAUACAUAUAGCAAAUAACCGAUAAUUGGACACAUGAAAUAAUAACUCUAAAAUAGAUAGGUAUAAAUGCACCGGGGCUUGCCUUGUUCGCUUAAAAAGUUAGUGUUGUCUGACGGGUUGACUUCGCAGGGGACUAAUUCAAAGACUUCUUCGAACUCCGAAGAUCCUUCUGAAAAUUCCAAAUAAUCUCCUUCUGGUACUUCAGGAUCUAUAGCACAAUACAUGCAGGGGUUAGGAAUGCAAAAUUUUGAAUAAAAGACUAUACAACUUUCCUUCAUGAUAAAGUUGCAAGCCAGCAAGGACUAUACAAUCUAUCAUGAUAAAGUUGCAAGUCAACACACAAAAACCCCAAAAGAUUAACCCACAAUUUUUAUUUUCUUACCUAAUCCUUACUGAAGGCCUUUCUUUUAUUUUUAGCAAAGGUUAUAAUUAUUUUCUAACUUGAAAACCUAAUUUCCUAUGGGUUAAGAAUAAUUUGUGAUUAAGAAAAUGUUAUUCCAUAUUUUAUACAUUUUAUAAAUAUUAAGUAUUUAUUUAAUUACCUUAAAAGAAAGGCAUUAAAUAAAUACCCAAAUUUUUUUUAUUUUUCUAGGGUGUAAAAAUUUUAAUGCAUAAAGGAAAAUAAAACAAGCCUAACAAAAUUGGUUUCACUAAUUUUGGACACUCCUAGAAAUUUUUGUGAUUUAAAUGGGGGAAUUCGGAUUUAAACUAAUUAUUCUAUAAAGGAAAUCUAAUUUUCCCGAAAAAACACCCCCGGAAAACUUUUCUCACGCAGCUCGACUCUACCCUCUCUCACGCGCGCUGGGCCCGCGGCGCGGACCCCCCUUUUCUCCUGUUCCACUUACCCGCCGGCCUUUUUCUCCUCCUGACAGCCCCUUGGGCCGUUUUCUUUUUCUUUUUCCUUUCACCGGUCCGUUACUGGCCCAACGGCCCACUUCUUCUUUUCCUUUCCUCCCGUGAAAACUGGCCUACGAAAACCUUGGGCCUCCGGCCUCUUUCUUCAGCGGUCCACCGCACCAACACCUGGGCCGUCGACAUUGCGGCCCAGCUGACGCCGCGCUCGACCGGCCCCUCUCUUCUCCUUCUCCCCUCUGACUCGCGGGCCCGACGCUCCAGCGUCUUCUUCUUCCUCCCGCCAAAACGCGCGCGCGACAGGGGGCGGCGCGACUCGCCGGCCGGCGCCCUACCGGCGGCGGAGCUAGGUCAGGACAGCACUUCUGUGCCUUCACGCACCCGCGCGCGGCAACAGCUCCUCGGGAGAUGGCCGGAGCCACUCCCUCCACGGCGGCACCUUCGGCCGGUCACGGCUACGCACGACGUCGGCACAAACUACUCGAACAACUGCUACUACACCAUCCUAGUAUCCUAAGGACCUGCCUAAGACUACCCAAGAAGGAAGGGAACCAGCGCAAGGGGUGCUCACCGUGAGCGGAAGGCGCGGCGAUGGCGGACAGAAACGGCGGCGGUUUAAGGUGUGCCGGCGAAGAAGCUGGGCAACAAGCUGCUGGGGUUGCUGGUGGGAUGUGGGCGGAGGUGUGGACGGAGGGAAUCGACGGGAGCUGUGGUGUGGCGGUGGAAUUUUACCCGGCGGCGGUGUUUGACAGAGAAGGCGGCGGCGGUAAGAAAAAGCGGCGGUAAAACAGCUGCGCGGGAGCGGUAAAUAUAUGAAUGGCUUACCGCGCGCAUGGGCGACACCGUGGCCUACUCGUAGGCUUGCGUGGUGAGGAGGUGGCGUAACCGUUGCGCUGGCGAGCGACCGACGACGGCGGCGGCGACACGUCGAGCUCGCUCUGCUGCUCUUCCCCUUUCUGAUUUCGGGUGCCCGAAAAUUCAGAGUUUCCUCACGGCUGAUUUCCAAUCCGACGGUGUAUAAGUGUCUUAACCGAAGUUGUAGAUAAACUUGAACUCUUCAAAUUUUAUUUUGGCUCUACCCCGAGAUAAACAUCCGAGCACAGUGUAAUUUGAAUUUCUUUCUCUACUUCAACUGAAUUUCACUGAACUCAAAGUUCAGUUCGUCAGUAAUACCACAGUGUCAUUUGCCUUACUUUGGGAACAAAUUUGGUGAUCCAAACCCUCCUUUUCCAGUCCAACUUCUUCCCAUUCGUGUUCUACCAUAUCCAAGGUUUCCAUUUUGCCCAAAAACACAUACCUCUUUUGAUCCACAUUCCUCUGAAAUCCAUUUCAAAGUCAGCCACCCACGGCUGUUUCAGACUUAGUCAUUUCGGCAAGACAAUCACCUGUGACAAUGUGCUGACUUUGAGCUUGGAUUUGAAUUCGUUCCCCUCACUAUUCCUGAUCAACAACAACCAAUUCUAGGAGUCCAAAGUUCAUACUUCAAUAUGGUAUAGUUGUCCUGAUCCACUUACUUGAAAAAUUCAUCAGAAUUCAAUUUUCAAAAUGGACUCUGAGGCUGUUUUUCUGAAUUUCUAUUUUCGGACGAUGAACAGUGAGUUCAGUUUUCCAUUUUCUUUCUUUAAUUCCUUUGAGAUAUUUAGGACCAUUUCUGUUUCAAAUUCUUGAUCCUCAAGUUCUAAUUACUCUUACACUUCUAUUCCAUAUUUUUGCCGAAUUUUUCUGAAUUUCAAAUUCAAAAUUCGAAUUUCGGCCAAAUUUGACCUGAAUUUGAUUUUCGGCCAAUUUCUUUUUCUUUUCUUCUCGAAUUGCUUCCAAUUCUUCAAAAUCACUUUGAUGACUAAAAUGGCAGGUGUUACAGCCUCUCCCCCUUAACAGAAUCUUGUCCCGAGAUUCUCGGGGUUAAAUCCUUGGUUUUGAGAAUGGAAAGAAAACUGCGUCAGGUCAACUAUUCUUCCUUUUUCUGUACAAGGAUAGUGGGGUGGCUUGUGUUCAUCUAUUCCGGUGGAUGUGGAUCGGAUCGGACGAGCCGGACACAGCUGAUGAGCUGAAGCUGAGUGAUGGACUUGGACGCCACGAGAUGCAUUUUUAUUUAUUAUAGGGGAAAAUCGUAAAAUCAAUUAACAUUACUUUGAAAUUCUCCCUCCAAAGUUGUUUUGUUGCAAAUGCACACCUCUUACUUCACUCUGAGGCAAAAACUGCGCACUGCGUACUUGUCAAUUUCACUUUUUUCCCCUGAUGUCGCAAAUGAUUCGCGGAGGCAACUCAAAAUCAAAAUAAUAUAAUUGGCUCUUUUUUGCAGUAUUUUCUUAACACAUAUUUGCAUAAUCCCAUUUAAUCCAGGGUAAAAGCUUUGGGGUAUGUUUUGGCUUGCAACUUUGCUACACUUGUUUAACUUGUGGCCAAGAUAAAUGACGCAAAGGUAGCCAAAGAAAAUCAUGCCAUAAUUUCAUGCCUAAGGAUCUAUUUGGGGGGGAAGUUACUAGUUGUUUAACAUUGUGGCAAAGUGAAAUGACGCACAACUUAGAGCUUUUGAACUUUUUUGAAAAGCUGUUGUUGGUUUUUUUUCUAAAAAUCCAAUACAACUUUUAAAAAAUGUGUUUAGCUUUUUGGGGUCAAAAAGCUAAAAAAAAAACUAAAAAACUGAGCUUUUCAACUUCCCAUAUAAACUUAGCUUUUCCGAACUUCUGGUUUUUCAAAAACUGCACGAGAAGUUUGCUAUUUGUUUGAGCUUCUGGCAGAGAGUCUCAGUCAUAUCUAAGAGAAUCGUGCCAUAGCAUCAUUACCAAGGGUUUAUUUGGCAAAAAGGAUUAGAGCCUCUUUCAAACUAAAGGAUUCUCAAACGCAGAGAUAGAAAAAAGAAUAGGAUUUUGAGUUAGUUGGUAGUUGCAAUUCUACGGGCCAAUAGAAUACAAGCACUUUCCAAUCGAGGGUCCGGAGAUAUCACAUAAAAAAUAGGAAUGUAAGAAAAGAUAUAAACUCAAAGAGGUUGGACCCCACAUUAGAACAACUUUGAAUUCAGAUGAAUUCGCCUAGGAAUAUAUAAAUUUUUGGAUGGCCAACACUCUUUUGUUACAAAGCUACUUCAUGUAGGAUUUAAACCCUACAAAAUUCCUACGCCAAUAUUUAUAUGCGGAGGAACUUAAUUAAGACAAAGACUCAUUUCAAGGCAAGCAACUUAACAAAAUGGGGCUAUUUGCAAAGUUUAGUGAUAUCCUUGCUCAGUUCCAAAUUUUAAGUCGUCUUGGCUUUUCUAAAUACAUAAUUUUUAUCAUGUAUCUAGAUAUAGCGUUAUCUAAGUGCAUAUCAAAAGCUAUAUAUUUAGAAAAUCAAAACAUUUAUAAUUUGGAAUGGAGAAAGUAUUAAACUUCCUUAAAAUUGUUUCUUGUGUGAUCUCAAUCUAUUCGGGCUAGCCAACCCCACCAAGUACAUACAUGAGCUUGUUGCACACUAACAUGUACGAGAAAAGCAAUACUUCCUCCAUUUAUUUUUAGUAGGCUUGUUAGGGAUUUAAAAAGUCUUUAAAGAUAUAUUUUGACCACUAAUUUAUAUUAUAAAUAUAUUAUCAAUUGCUACAAAAUUAAAGUGGUACAAUCUCCAUUUUAGAUAAUUGGUAACUUUGACUUUCAUUAUUCAAUAUUUGAUUAAAACUAUAUGUUCAAAUAUUUGGUUAAGUUAAACAAGAAAGUAUCACUAGAUAGGUUACAAAAGGUACUUCAAAGUUAAAACAUUCACUGAAAAGACGAACAUUCAAACAAUGAAUAGUGAAGUCGAAGUUGUUAAUUAUUUUGAAGCAUAGGAUUGCACUAAAAAGAUAUUUGAAAUACAAAUUGUAUUCAUAUAACUUUUUACAUUAAGUAUACAUAUAAUUUGAUUAAUUUAUUGGUAAAAAUAAUGAAGUUAAACUUUAAAUUCCUAAUGCGUCUACGAACAAAUAGGUAACUAGAUUUCCAAAAAAAAAGAAAAUUGAGCUCUUUCGGUCAUUCAACAUGCUGAGCGAGUGAGAACCAAGCACAACUUAAUUGGUUAGUAAAGUUUGUUAUACCUUCUACUCAUCAAGGAUGAAGCUCAAAUUUUAUGUAUUUGUUACGCCCGGUUUUUUUAUGUAUUGUUUGUCUGAUUAAUUAAUGUAGCAUGCGACGUGCUUUUUGAUGGAGAAGUGUAUGCAAUUGAUAUUUAUAGGACAGGCGUUUAUAUGCGUGGCCGCGUUUUGUUUUCUAAAAAAAUACUAAAUCUGUCAUCUCGAAGAAUAUACUUGUGUACACAUAGCUACGGAGUACACCUCUACCGCUAGUCUAUCUACGGCACUCAUAAACAAGAAACGUUCACCCUCCAAAUCUUCACGUCAGAGUCCAGCGAUCCGCUGCAAACAUGAGCUGCAGAGCAGGAGCAGCACCCGUCGCACGAGCCAUCGUGNNNNNNNNNNNNNNNNNNNNNNNNNNNNNNNNNNNNNNNNNNNNNNNNNNNNNNNNNNNNNNNNNNNNNNNNNNNNNNNNNNNNNNNNNNNNNNNNNNNNCUGCCCGUGCUCGGCUUGUCGCACGUCCAUGGCCAUGUCCAGCGGCCACAGCCUGAUGUGUCCAUUUGACGAGGCUAUGUAGAGUGAGUCGCCGUCGAUGGCGAGGCUGGAGACGUAGAACGAGUUACCUUUGAGGGUGGCAAUGCACUGGUAGAGGCAUGAACUCAAGCUUGGGUUCGCGGAGUUCUGCAAGGAAGGGCGAUUCGAUUGCGACAAGAAUGAUAUGGUGUGUUCCGUCUCAGAUACAUCCUGGGCUUGGGUUUCUUCUUGCCUAAUAGAACUCAUGGAAAACCUGUCAUUGGAGUCAAGAACUCACUGCAUACUUGCAACCUGCUGCAUGUGGAAGCAUAGAAAGAAGGUUAUGAUAAGCAUCAGUAAGGCAGUGGGUUAUCUUUAUAGUAAGUGACCUGAAGGAUGAGAUCACAGUGCAGAAAGAUCCAGCUGAGAGGUACUUGAGUGGGGGAAAAGACAGUCUGGAGCGCUUUAGAUUCUGGGGACAAAACUCUUGGUAAAACGUCUGUGUCAACAUAGCUACAUUCAAAUAGAAAAUUAUGCGCCUAUAUGGACUAGCUUUCACCGGAUAAUUCAUGGCGACUUUCUAACAGGUAAAGGUGAUCUAGGCUCCUCAUUGUUCCUAGCAGAGAAACAGGUCUAGGGUCUGUCAAGAAAUGCAUAUGCACACCUGAUGCGGAUUUGCCUUGCCGUGUUGGGAAUACAUUCAGCUUCCUUUUCUUCCUUGCCCCGCCCCGCCGCCACCCCCCACCGCCCCAAACACACACACUUUUUCUUCCAUCAAAAGUGAGCUUGCAAUGAUAACUUGGGUGUAAUUUGAUCUGAUCUCCAUUGAAGCUCGUUUCAGAGUGAUUUCAACAGAUUUUGCUGCAGUGAUAUAUUUUGUAAACAUGGUAAAAGAAGAGAACUCUAUGAUUUGUUAUCAUAUCAGAUAUUUAACAUCAAGAAGCCCCAUAACCAAUGCACCUGGCAACAACUACUACUUAACGAGGCACAUCAAUAUGACAAUUAUCUCGCACUCAAAACAAGUUUCAGGUAAAAAAGGGUAUUCGAUGCAAAGACAUGGGGGCCAUGUAUCAAUUUCCAUUUACAGUUGAGGUGCAAUUCAACAGAGCAUUUGGACAUAAACUUGUUAUGAACAACAUAGGGUUGGUGUUUUUCUUGAAGAAAAUUGAUGGAAUUGUAUUGCCAAAGCUCAUGGACUCAGUUCCACUCAAAAACAGUUGCAUAAAGCACUAAGCCACAGAAUUUUUUAAGCUAAAAAUUGCAAUGGUUCUGCCCUACAAAUCAAAACGAUUCUCAAAUGUAAAGAAUAUCCUAAAGACAGGAUUAGCUACUUUAAAUCCCUCAAAAACAGAUUUUAGCUGCUUUAAGGUCUUCUGUCUGGUGAAAACUGUGCUCUCAAGAAGCAAAACUAAAAAUUAAUAGCCUAGCUGUGAGAAGAAUAGAACUACUACGCUAGCUCGGGAAGGACCCCACUUGAAAAGCCCAAUCGAUAUGUCACAGCACAAGAAGCAGACAGACACUAAACAUGUUGCAUUAUCCAUUGCUUAUCAUCAAGGACCGAAAGACAUGAUGCAACACAACAGCGAUAAGAUAGGCACUGCUAAAGCUAGUGCAGGAAAGCCUAGUGUAUCACCAGAUAAACACAAGCUCUGCAUUCUCACUCUCACAACUAGUGAAUUCUCACUUGACAAACAAAAAAAGACUCGUGAAGGAGAGGAGAGGUAUGAAAUUAAUCAGGAGCCACUGCCAUAUGAAAAGUUUAGAUCUACUGAUCAGAACAAAUAGAUAAACUCUCGGAAGACUAGCAGUUGCUGAGUUAUGAGAUAGAAGAACUAUGUGAUGAUUUCAAGCUUGAGGCUUAGCCAUAAACAGUGAAUAAAAACUUAAAAUGUCGUCAACUUGUUCACACACAUGUGCAUGCACACAAGAGCAUAUGCACAGGAUGAUAAAUUAGUAUACUCGAUAUAUUUAACUAGGAAGUUAAAGUGACUUUAUGGAGCCUUUCAGAAGCACUCAGACAAGAUUUGUGCCAGAAACAAGACCAUAAUUCUUGUCGAACUAGCUCAGCUCCUACAAUUAACUUUCAAUUCAUGAAAAUCAAACUGUUGUGGACCUGAAAUAAAUAGUUGUAAAUAAAACCCAUAGCUAAAUCCACAAGUUAAGAUAUUUUUACAUUGUUACUAAAUUAUUUUUUUGAGGGAAACAGGAGGGGUUGCCCCGAGGGGUUGUUACUAAAUUAUGCACAUUCCUACCGAAAAUGGUAUGUGAAAAUUGAAAAAAGUAUAUGGUAGUCAUAGUUCUUAACACUGCAGAUGACCGUUGCAUCUCCUCUAAUAUACUUUUUGUAACCACGGUUGGUUAAAGACAUAUAGUCUUCUAACAAAAGCAAAUUCCAUAUUUCUCAGUGUUGAGGAAGAAAUAGCGCAUGCUUAAUUGAACAGAACCAAAUCGACAGUAUUAAUCUUGAAUGACACAGCAACCACAAUGCAAUCCCCACUUGGACAUUUAGUCGAGCAUCUGGUGAACGACAGCUAUUUGAGCACAGCAGAGGAAGCAGGAGGAUCCACAGUCGUGGCUUUGCCACGCACUGGUUGGAGUGGACCAGUUCUUAUGCAUCUAGUUUUCUCGUCCUAUAGGAUUUUUUGAAUUUGAGCCCCAUGUCAAUCUCUCAGUAUGGGGAAAAGAAUCUGGACACCAUCAAUGUUAGAAGCACUUAAUCAUCUCAAUUAUUCAAAAAUAUUGAUUAAACAUUCACAAGUUCGAUGAAGAUAUUAUAUGCAGAAAGCUCUUGAAAUGCCUUGACAAUAAUGUGAGAUACAUAGUGUAGAUAAUAUAUUACAUUUUUAUUGAUAAGGUAAGUCCGUGAAAAAUUUAUAAACAUAGGUUCUGAACAUGAACAAGUUCUGAGCAUAAGCACUGCAAGAAGUUGUAUAAGUAUGUAGAUGGCACCAGAGAUGGUAGCAUUACACAAAGAGGAUUAGAAUCCCAACUUGGACCUAUAUCAGCUUGAAGCCACUAACGAAAUUAAUUAUGGAGUUUUUAUUUUUAAACCAUUGGAUCAUCCUAGUCUAUCCUAUGGAGACAUUUAAUGUCUGUUUUAAUUGAAAUUGUACACUGAAACUUAAAUACAAACUUAGAACUAAAGUGAAGAUUCGAUCUGUUGUAAAAUACUGUUAGAGGUGAAAAAGAACUUGUUAAGCGCCGGUUCUGCCUUUACCUUGUUACUCGGAGUGGUAAAAUGUCAUAGUUGUAAAUAUCUGCAGAUAAUGGAUGGGGAAAAAAUCUGCAGAUAAGCAGCUAUGAAAAAAAAAUCCUAGAUUAGACUUAAUACUUAAAAUUGUAAUACCUAUUUCCAUUAUUUCAUACAUUUCAGGCCAGACACUCAAAAUAAUAGACAAAAAUUAAUGCAAUAAUAGAUAAGCCUAUUUGUAAAUCAUUAAACUGUAAAUAGCUAGCCUGAUCUCCCGAGACAGUGAUUAAACUGUUUGAACAGCAUCUGAGUCAAGCAGCAUAGAGGAUAGACAUGUCCCAUGGACAAGCAGAAGAGGAGGAGAAGAUGUUGGAUUGAACAUCUGAGUCAAACCGCAUAGAAGAUGCCUGCUCAUUUCCUUCCCCAGAUUUGGGUUCAAUGUGUCCUUAUUUCUGGUUGUGGUUGGUAAUUCAAAUAGUUAUUCAAUCACCACAGUAGCUCACGUAGGCAAAUGAUCGAGCAUAUCGUGUGCAUAACAGAAUUCAACUGAGAGCAACCAACAUCAUCUCCACUGGUAUGAGUACUUGGGCUCGGCUGCAGCAUGAUACGACGCCAAUCAACGACAGCAGGCAGUUUCGACAUCUCAAGCUCACGGAAGAAGGAUGGCCUUUCCUGAGCUACAACCACUCCGAUUCGCCGCGUCCUUACCGUGCUACUGCAUGCAGCCAGCGUACAUCGCAGUCGCCAAGGAUGUCUCACCUUGGAGCCGCGGUGCCGCGUGGCUGGGGGUGCAACGACCAUGUAUUGUGACCAAGGUCCGGCGGACGGCACUGUGGAUGGAGCGCAGCAGGUCGGCCAACGGCAGCGGUGCGACGGAGAUCAACUCCAGGUCUCCAGCUACCAUCCCUUUGUCCACCCUCUCCUCCACCUUGCGAACACAUGGGGAGGAUAAAGGUUGCGCUGCUGCUUCUCAUCUGAGUUGUGCCGCGCCGCGCUGCCACCACAUCUCCUCCUGAUGAUCGCCAUGGUGUCGGUGCGCUUCCAUUGGCGUCUCCACAAGGCAGAGAGAGUAAGACGCGGCAGGUGGAGCGAAUGCUCUUAAGGCGGACAGCGCAGCGAUAGGGUAUGCGAUCGGGACGAGACGCUGGAAAGUUCGACACAAAAGGAGAAAGGUCUGGUGAAACGCGAGGUGCUGUGCCCGUGGUCCAAUGGCUGACUUAACUGCAACAGGAAGAUCGAACGGAUGAGCUUCGCUGGUGACGUGGCCUAAUAAAAUGAUCGAGCUUGGCGCAGGAUUCAUACUAUAGAGAUUACUAAUUGUAUAGCAGAAUUGCAAAUUAGAUUGCUUGAAGUUUUGUUUUCAACUCUAGUUAGUUUUCAAACUCUAUUAUGAUGAUUUUACCGAAUUCACUACCGGAAACAGUAACUUUGCCGAGUGCCCCAGGCACUCGGCGAAGGGCCAAAUACAGUCGGCAAAGGGUUUGCCGAGUGUAACACUCGGCGACCUUUACUCGGCAAAGUUUUUCUCGGCAAACAGUGUGUUUGCCGAGUGUCGACCAUCGGGCACUCGGCAAAGCCUUUGCCGAGUGCCGCAAUACACUCGGCAAAAUAUGACACUCGGUACAAAGACGUUAACGGGCUGUCACGGCGACGGAAGCUUUGCCGAGUGUCUGACGGCCAACACUCGGCGAAGUCUACAUCUUUGCCGAGUGUUUCCCUAAAUACACUCGGCGAAGUUUACAUGUUUGCCGAGUGUUUCCCUAAAUACACUCGGCGAAGUGUACAGGUUUGCCGAGUGUUUCCCUAAUUACACUCGGCGAAGUUUACAUCUUUGCCGAGUGUAUUUAAUAAAACACUCGGCAAAGAUGCCCGGCCCGCCAUUUUUUUAUGCCCCCUUUGCCGAGUGUUUUUUUGAAAACACUCGGCAAAAUGGUCUUUGUUUGCCGAGUGCCUACCCUAUGGCACUCGGCAAACAAGCAAUUCCGCCAAAUUGUUUGGCCCCUUUGCCGAGUGUUUGAAGAAUACACUCGGCAAACCCGUCUACUACUACCAGAAAUGGCCUCUUUGCCGAGUGUUAACACUCGGCAAAGUGUCCUAAUUCCUGCUACAAAAUAGAAAUGUUAGGUAUAAAGGACCCCUCUCAAAAAACAACCACAGAUACACAGGCAUAUUAAUGGCAGCACAAGCAUAUAAAUUGCACCACAGGAUUCACAAGCACACAAAUAGCAUUCAUAAGUUCUCGUCUAAAUAAGUAAUUCACAAGUUUUGCAUCACAAACACAGAAAUGACAAUUCACUGAGGAGGAUGAGGAGGACGUGCAGGUGGCCACUGCCCCCAGGAAGAUUCUGCAUUGGACGCCGCCGAUUGAUUCUGCACAAAUGUAGGUAAAGAGAUUUCAUAGUCUAAACAAGUAAUUCUAGUGGAAGUAAGUCUAGAUUGAUUGUAAGGUUGAGAUUGACUCACAGGAGUAGCUGCAGGAGGUGGUGGAGGUGGCGGGAAGAGGUUCGGUGGCAUAGGUAGUGGAGUUUGACCUAAACUGUGGAACACACUCUGCAUGUAUUGGAACAUCUGCUCCGUCCUCUGCCUUUCAAGCUGCCGAUCCGCCUCGAUCCUCGCCUCUAGUUCCUCUUGGCGCUUCCGUUCUACCUCCACCUGGGCCUACAAUAUUUCAUCCCAACCACUUAUUGUCAAGCAAAAGGUAAGUACAAAAUGAAUGAAAAAUUAAAGAAACACAACUAACCUGCAGAGUCUGCAUCUGUAGCUGUGCAGCGGUAGGCCGUGGCCGUAUCGCGGGGCUCGAGUCCGUGCUCCUUGCUCGGAUCUGGGAGAGAGUGGGAGUACUGGCAGUGUCGAUCACGCUAUCUCCAAUCCAAUACGUGCCAUGCUUCUUCCCUCCUCCUACCCUCAUCACUAUUUCAGCAUCGAUAUCCUGAGAGCUCGGAUCGAACUCUGGCCCGUGAACCUCCCUCGCCAUGGCUGUGUACUCGGUGACGCGGCUGUGGAUGCUGGGAUGGCUGUACGCCUCGGGCGGGUCCUCCGGGUUGAAGUCGAUGUCUGCCGUGGCCUUGCCCUUUUUAGACAUAACCCAUGCCUUGAACCGGGAGCACUCCUGACCAUCAUGUGAUGAAGUCUGCGGAAAAAAUGUAAAAUGAUUACAAAAUAUGCAGUAUUAUGUCUGAGAAAACAGAAAUGAAUUCACGUACCCAUUUUUCCUUGUACUCAUCAAGGCUCAGGCUACCUUGAUGGUGUGAUGCAUAUGGCAUCUGCAGACGCCGCUCCCGGCAGGCAUUGUGGAUCUCCAACCACCCAGGCUGCAACCACACGUCCACCAUUUUUUCCCAGCACCGGGUAAAGGAUCGGCACCACCACGGAGGCACCUAUAUGAAGUGUGACAUAUAAAUAACGGAAUUAAGCGUAAUUAAUCUCUCAAAUAGUAAAUAUAGUCUUUAUGUACGUACCGCCAUGAAUUCUUCCUUGGUCAGGUUCAUUGUCCUGGCCUCUUCUUUUUUGAUCCUCAUCCUUUUGUAUUCAGCAUAAAAGUCGAUGAUGGCCUGAACGCGCGCCUCGUAGUGCAUGUCCUUAACAAGCUUCUUAGCGGCUUGUUCAAUCACGGAGGCCGCCCUAGCCUCGAAGCCCUCCUGACAUCUAUAAAGUCCUGCGUAUAGACGGNNNNNNNNNNNNNNNNNNNNNNNNNNNNNNNNNNNNNNNNNNNNNNNNNNNNNNNNNNNNNNNNNNNNNNNNNNNNNNNNNNNNNNNNNNNNNNNNNNNNNNNNNNNNNNNNNNNNNNNNNNNNNNNNNNNNNNNNNNNNNNNNNNNNNNNNNNNNNNNNNNNNNNNNNNNNNNNNNNNNNNNNNNNNNNNNNNNNNNNNNNNNNNNNNNNNNNNNNNNNNNNNNNNNNNNNNNNNNNNNNNNNNNNNNNNNNNNNNNNNNNNNNNNNNNNNNNNNNNNNNNNNNNNNNNNNNNNNNNNNNNNNNNNNNNNNNNNNNNNNNNNNNNNNNNNNNNNNNNNNNNNNNNNNNNNNNNNNNNNNNNNNNNNNNNNNNNNNNNNNNNNNNNNNNNNNNNGGGAGGGACGAGGGACCUCGCAACCAGAUUCUUGGACUGCUCUUCCCUUCCUUCUUCCCUUGCUUCUCCCCCUCUCCUUCUGCUCUGCUCUCCUGUUACCUUCCGCCUCGUCACUAGAGGCGUGCGCGGAGGGUACCUCCUCCUCCUCCUCCUCCGACGACGACGAAGGCACAGGCGAUGUGGCCCUCACCCCUUUACCCUUUCCUCGACCCCUGCCCCAACCCCUGCCUCUAGCCAAGACCUGUGCCCCCACCGCUUCCUCCACGGGUGCGUCACCCCUGCCUCCACCCCUCCCUCGACGCCUUCCUCGACCUCUCGAUGCGUCUGACCGUGUACCUGACCCGGAAGCUGCAGCUUUUAAUUUUUCGUAAAGCGCUGCGAUCUUCCUCGUACCGCCCACCAUUGUUCAAUCACCUGCAUUUGCCAAGAGUAAACCAAUCAGCACAUAUAUAAAUAAAACAUAAUUUCAAAAAUAACAUGGUAUGAAAAAUAAUAAAUAAAUUAUUACGAUCCAUACAUGUCUUAGAAAUAAUCGUCAUGAUCGGGAUUAGCUGGAUCAUAAGUCUCAUCGUCACUGUCACGCGUGUCAAACAAAUCAUUCCCGUGCUCCGAAGUUUCAGCGUCAUCAUCAAUGUCCUGUCCUAACUGUAACCGCUGAAGUAAUUCUAACUCCUUCAUAUUAUGAACCUCCUCUCCAGCGUCAUCGUCAACAACCCUUUCAUUGUCUACUUCCAUUGCGAAAGCGUUUCAUUGUCUACUUCCAUUGCAAAAGCGUCGGUUAAAUCAAUCUCAAAAAUCUCCGUCAUAUGUGUUGGGGUUAAUGUUGUAAUCUUCAUUAUUUGGUACAGGUAGUUUACCGUGUGGCGAUACCUUGUACACAACAUCCCAACCCUUCAGACGAUCGUCAGUUUGGCACGGGUAUGACAAAUAAUAAACUUGCGUGGCCUGUUGAGCCACAAUAUAGACAUCGUCUCCUUGGAAGACGGAUGAUUGCCGAAUUUCGACUAACCCAAGAUUAGGUGCCCGUCUCACGACUGAUGGAUCAAACCAAUAGCAUUUGAAUAUGACAUGAUUAAGAACUUUGCAACCAUGAAAAAUUAGUUCGUAUAUUUCUUCAAUUCUUCCGUAGUACUCGACACCAUCAGAGCCUAGCGUGAAUACUCCGGUAUUUGUCGUUCCUCGAUUGGGCCGACUCUGCUCAUGGAUUGUUGUGUGAAAACGAUAACCAUUUACGUCAUAACCGGUAAAAGAUCUGACCCUGUAGGCAUAGCCAUCGGCAACCUGUCUAACCUCAACAUUUAUAGACGAAACGGUUUGAGCCUGCAAGUUGAAGUAGGGUGGUUCGUUAUAUUAUUCGCAUGUACGGCAAACUUGGAACGUGGUAAUCAUGAACGAGCGAAAUUGGAUUGUACCUUAUGUUUGAACCAAGAAAUAAAAUCGGGCAUUCCAUUACCCGCACCCUUUUGAAGAAGGGUCUCGGCUUCGUGCGGGGUAGGUUCCCUUGAAUUACGCCAGAAUUUACGAUGAAAUUCCCUGUACCAACGAGAAACAUGAGAGUUGAUCCCAGAAUAGUGAUUAAUUGAGAACAAACUAGUUUGUUCACAACUUACAGUAUGUACGGCUCCACCUCGGCAAGGUUGGUCAAUACAUACAGCAUGAUAGUGCGCCACUCUUUAUGUUUCAAUUUCUUCUGUGUCGCACCACUUGCACUUCCAAGUUGUCCUCGAAAAAGGCUAAGGCUCGAUUCAACUUCUGAGUCAUUAUAACGAGCGGGUGGAUUGUGCACGCUAGGAAGGUUGUCAGCAUAGUAUUUGGUUGUGAAGUUUGACACCUCCUCCAGAAUGUAUGCCUCUGCAAUGGAUGCUUCAAUUUUGCAUUUAUUUUUACAUUUAGUUCGAAGGACCUUUUGACAUCUCUCAAUUGAAUAGCACCAACGACCCUGCACAGGCCCCCCCAUUCGUGCUUCAUACGGGAGGUGCAAAAUCAUAUGCUGCAUCGGAUUGAAGAAGCCAGGCGGAAAGAUCUUCUCCAACUUACAGAGCAACACAGGUGCCAUUCUUUCCAUUUCUGCAACCACGGUCCGAGAUAAUUCCUUAGCACAAAGCUGACGGAAGAAAUUGCUCAACUCCGCUAGCACUUGCCAGACAUUAUUAGGUACAUAGCCUCGAACCAUCACCGGGAGUAGGCGCUCAAGCCAUAUGUGGUAAUCAUGACUUUUGAGCCCGUUGAUUCGCAUAGUAGCUAGGUUCACUCCCCUCUUCAAAUUCGCUACAUACCCAUCAGGGAACAUUAACGUUUGGAACCAUUCUAAUACCUCGCUCUUUUGGGCCCUCGUCAGGACAAAAUCGGCCUUAGGCUUUCUCCACGACUUGUCGGCUCUAGGAGGCACCAUGUCUAGCUUUGGUCUGUUGCAUAACCUUGCUUGAUCCACUCUAGCCUUAACGUUAUCCUUUGUCUUGUCAGGAAUGUCCAUGAUUGUACCAAAAAUUGCCUCAGCGAUGUUCUUUUCAGUGUGCAUAACAUCAAUGUUAUGUGGGAGAAGAAGAUCGUCAAAAUAGGGGAGAUUCCACAAGCAAGGCUUCUGAGUCCAAGCAUGUUGCUCGCCAUAUCCCACAAACCCACCUUCAUGAUUAUUGACCUCAAGAGCGUCUAUCUGAGCACGAACCAAGGCUAAGGUCAACAUCUGCGGUGGGGGCUCAUUAACUACGACAUCUUUCGUAAAAUUUCUAAUAUCUGUUCUGAAAGGAUGGUCAGGAGGAAGGAAUUGUCGAUGUUUGUCGAAUGAAGAAUACUUGCCACCCUUGGUCAACCAAGUGAACUUCACUGAAGCCUUGCAUACUGGGCAGGGGAACUUCCCGUGAACACACCAGCCACAGAAAAUACCAUAUGCCGGCAAGUCAUGCAGGGAGUAGUGGUACCAAAUAUGCAUCUUGAAGUUUGUCCGUGUAGGCCGGUCGUAUGUCCAUACCCCUUCCUCCCAUGCACGGACCAAAUCAUCUAUCAGAGGCUCCAUGUACACACUCAUAUUAUUCCCUGGGUGUUCUGGAAUUAUCAACGAUAAAAAUAUGUUUUGUCGCUGAAAGAUGACACCAGGGGGGAGAUUCAGGGGGAUAACAAACAUAGGCCAACAUGUGUACGGGGCAGCCGCCAUUCCAUAUGGAUUGAACCCAUCUGUUGCGAGCGCAACACGUACAUUACGAGCCUCUCGAGCUUUCUCAUCAUAAAUGGCAUCAAACUUUGUCCAGGCUUCACCAUCGGAUGGAUGUACCAGCUUGUCAGCAUUGUAUCGACGUCCGUUUUUAUGCCAUGUCAUUUGUUUCGCGGAUUCUUCACACAUGUACAGCCGUUGGAUCCUCGGUAUGAAGGGAAGGUACCCUAGAAUCUUCACAGGGAUUGCAAGCUGCUUCUUCUGACCGUCACCAGAGUCUACCUCCAGGAAUCUAGAUGAUUCGCACUUCACACAGUACUUGGCUUCCGCAUAUUCUUUCCUAAAUAAGAUGCAUCCCUUCGGGCAAGCAUGUAUCUGCUCGUAUGGCAUCUUAAGUGCACGAAGAAGUUUUUGUGCCUCAUACUGUUGGCGCUAGAAAUCGGUCAACCGAAUCCCAGCGACCGACACACGACCCGGGAGAAUCUGCUUAGCUCCUGUUCGGGUGAAUGCCCUGAUGUGGUUCGCGCGGCGUGCCAGCCAAUCUGACCUGUUGAUUGGCAAGGAAGAACACGUGUCAGGUUCAGAAACUACGAUCGGCUAAGUUUCCGAUCGAGAGAGUUUAUCAGCGAAUCGGCCGAUUUACUGUGAUAAUGAAAUCGGCUAUAAGACAGCACGAUCCCUGUAGCCUUGUAGACGGAAAAAUACUAAAGUAAUCGGUACAAAGCUUGUGAUAACAGCACUAGGAAAAGAUCUAAUCGGCAACGGAUGGAUCUAACGAUAGAAAAUAAUGAAAGCCGAUACUACCGAUUCCUAGCGGGAUAAUUGGUGAUAAAAACUAGGAAAACAGGUAAAAACCUAUGAAUCUAGUUGAUAUCGAUAACUGAUGAAUAAAUCUAAACGAAACAACAGCGAUGCGCCGGAAGUUAAAGCUUAGAUAUUACUCGAUAAACGGAACUUACAGAAUCGGCCGGAGAUCAAGAUGAUGCAGCCCUGCCAAUCCGCACGAACUCGUGAGAAGAAAAAAGUAACGGCGAAGUCGCCUGCUCGAAAGUAAGUACGAAGAAGAAAGUAACUUGUUGUAUUGAUUGGUUGAUGAUUACAGAUUUACAAAGGUAGCUAUUUAUAGCCCCGUACAGAUAACUUCUUAACCGACUAGAAUUCUAUCUCUAAUUCAAACAGAAAACAAACAACUACAAGCACAAUUCAUGCUAGGUUAGUUAUCCCACGCUUCGUGGGCUGACCCCCACCUUAUCCUUCCAUCCCUUUCCAAACCCAUACAGGCCCAAUUAGCCCAUCCUCUUAAUCGGCCGAUUUCCCAUCGGCAAAAGAUUACCGAUUGGGAUUCUGGUGCAUUCAUCCUGAAGUGAGACAAAAGUCGUCAGCCGAUCCCGCACUACAGCACCAUUUGACCGAUUCCCAACUGUAGUUCUUCGAUUUCUUUCUGCUUGGCGCCGAUUCUACUGGUGACGAAAUCCGGCGUCAACACAUGCCCCCCCAGUUUCGGAGUAAAACACAGUCUUUUACUUUGAAAUUCUUUUAUAACCUCUCCUCCAAAACGGCCGCAGUGAAAAUAUCCUUCCGUUUCGCGGUCUCCCGGCUGAUCAUUGCAAUUUUGAAACGGGCGCCCACGACAGCCACUACCCCGAAAACCUCGAAGCGCCGGCGCGGUGAAAAUUCCAUCUUUACCCUUUCUUCAGGCAUCCUAUAAAUAGCGUUUCACCGCAGCUCAUCUUCAAGCUCACAUCUCUUUUCCCAACGCGCGCGCAUCCUUCUUCUUUCCACACUCUCCCUUGCCAUCGAAGUCUUCUAGUUCCAGUUCCUAUUACUUCUUCCCCCUUCCCUUCGAUGGCGACUCCUUCCGGCAGCUCCCCCGCACGCGAUGCUCCAGAGAUAGUGCCUCCGGUGGUGGUAGCGACGGCCGUCACUUCAUCUACAGAUGAAAGAGCUUCAUCAGAAAUCCCAAUGGCGGUCCCCAUCACGGCCCCGUCAUCCACAUCCGCAUCGGCGACCACACCGAUUACUCAGAACUUUAUCCCGGAGGUAAAUACCAAAUCCUUCCCCUAUCGGCAACGUAUUUAUCUUAGAUCUACUCCUUACAUUCCUAUGCCCCUUUUCCUUUUUUAGGCGGUUAGGCAUAGAAUUACUAUUCAUCUCACGGGCAGUCCUGGCCUUGUUUGCCUUGGUCCCAUGGGAGACCCAGAUCCGGCAGAUCUUAUAAAUUUGGAAACUGACCGGGUGCCCUUCAAACGAUCCGAUAUGAACUUAGAUCAAUGGGUGAGCACUUUCAGAUCUUGGCCGAAUGAAACCCUUGGUUGGAGGGAAUGGUACCAACGGGUGGCUGCGUCCAAGAGUGUCUUGUGGGAAGAGCUCAAAAUUGGCCAAUGCAUCAACCUCUCCCUAUCUCAAAUGGAGAAAAAUGAGCCAUUAGUGAUGGCGGCUUCCUAUUUUUGGUCUGACGCACUUAAUGCGUUCUUAUUUGGACACGGUCCUAUGACCCCCACCUUGGCCGAUGUGGUCCUCUUGACCGGCCUGGACAUAUCUUCCCCUGACACACCCUUCCACCUUUUGACCACAACGUCGCAUCGGCUGGACACAAGGGGAAUCGACGGCUGGAAGGGCUUUAUCAGUAGUAACAAGAAGACCGGUACUGUUGAGAACAGGGAACACACAGCUUUCCUGAUGAUGUGGCUAGAAAAACACCUCUUCUGUGGAAGAGCCGCCGGCCCAACAACCAACACCCAAUCCUUAGCUGAAGCACUAUCCAGAGGAAGCCAUAUUCCUCUCGGGAAACAUCUUCUGGGUGCUGUGUACCAUAUGCUCCAUGAAAUCGGCACAAAACUUUUCAAGGGAGAACCAAUCGGCAACCCAGGUGGGCCUUGGUGGUUUGUCAAUCUAUGGUUGAACCUUUACAUGAACAAAAUCACCCGGCAACCAGUGGACCAUAUGAUGUUUCCCAAUAUCGAAUCGGCGGAGGACCCUACCGAGCGUCGCCGAUGCAUGUCUUUUGGUGAAGCAGCGUCAGCUUUUCCAGGUUGUGCGUAUUCUGCUACAAAGGUAGCCGAGUACUUUCGGUGCUUUUAUAAUGGAUUUAAUGAGGACGCGACUAUCUGGUUUCCAUACCAGCGAGACAUUCCAGUCUUUGAGCUCCCCUCCUGCUUCGAUUCAACUUCUGGCCGGUUUGAUGAAGAUCUUUAUGAAGAAUUGAUCAAACCAGGGCUCCUACCGGCCAACUUCUUUUCAGGGAAAGAUGCCCCUACAUACGAAUUCUACAACCCGUCUACUGCCGCACGACAAUUCGGCAUGGGUCAAUCGCCGAUACAAGUGUAUUUUGCUGGCCGAAUCAAAUUCAGAGAUGUGCUCACAACUGGCCUGGAUUACUGUCGGCUGCGAGACCGAAUUCCGGACUCUAGUACGAUUAAUUUGAAUGAUUGGCUAUUAUUUCCAUUUGCCGUCCAUCCGUUCAAACUUUGGUGGGCCGAAUGGAAGCAAUUUCUAUUCUGCAACUCAGCAUCGGCAUACUGCAACCUUCUAGAUCCGGCCAACAUUGAUCCAAACGCCGAGGUAUUUCUGAUUACCGAUUUUUAUUCUUCCCAACAUGAUUGAGCACUAAUAAUUUCACUGUUUCUUUAGGCCGAGAAUCGGGCCCCUCCAACGCACAGCCGCAGCGGUCGGCUAAUAGAGAGCUAUCCAUACACCACCUAUCCUCUCAUCGGCUACGACGCUCCGUCAGUUGACAUGAUCGCUGGCCGAUCGAAGAAGGUUUAUAAGAAGGUCGUCAAGAAAACCAGUCGCCGAGUCCGGGCUCGUACGGAAUCGGCGGAUCCUCCUGUGCUCGUAUCGGCAGAAGCUUUGACUGCACCACCUUCCCAGGCCGCACAAAGUGCCAAUACUCAAGCCAUCACACAAGCCGGAGUGGCUGCCGCAUCAUUAUUAUUGGAAGCUAUACAAGUAAGUCCGAGCUUUACUAUCCCCGAUUGUCGUUUUGAUAUUAGCUCUUCUUAACUUUGUACUUCUUAGAGCACCUCUGCGGAAAUACCGCAAUCGGCGACGACUCGACCGGACACCAAUGCACCUCUGCCCUCAUCCAUUGAGGUACGGUACUUAUCUUACGGAUUUCCUUCGAGUAUUUGCGUAAUGUAUCUAACCGAUUUUUGACGCAGGCCAUCGGCACACCGAGCGCUUCCCUACAACCGAUUUCUUCCCAGGGAGCUGGUCCGAGCACCGCGCCGAUUAUCGUGGAGUCCUCUUCAUCAGAUGAACCUAUGGCGCAGGCCACUGAGCAAGACACGACGGCUUUACAAGCGCAGCAUGAAGAAAUUCGUUUUAAAAUGGUAAAUUCCUAAACCAGCUUUCAACCAGCCGAUUUGCUCUGAUCCCCUGCCGAUUCACCCCUUUUCCUUAUUUUCUUAGGAACAAGAUUCCCCCAACAACAGCCUCUUCUCCUUCGCGGUUGCUCUUUCUGAUGAUGAGGAAAUCGCAUCCCGCCAAGUUGCUCUAAGCUCCGUUCCUGACGACGUCCGAGCUAAACUUACCAACAUCCGAUCCCUCCUGCAAGGGGACAUCGGCCGAUUGGUAGAAGAUGCUUCGCCGAUUCGGCAGCUCUUUAGUGACGUCAGCGGACGAGUACCAGAGGAAGCGGAAGAGGCCUUGGCACCGGCGGCCUUUAUCGAGUCCAUGAGGAUCCCAGUUUUUAGGGCCCUUCGUCAUAUGGCCGAUCGCGCGAAACUGGCCAAGACCCGUGAAGAUGAAAACGCUUUUAAGCGUCAGGCUCAAGAAGCGAAUCGGCGUAUCCAUGUCCUAGAAGGUUCACGCCCGGCGAUCAUUAGUGAAAUAGAUCGCCUCAAACGUCGGAGGGCGGAACUUGCCAAAGAGAUGGAGCAAGUGACCAAGGCAAUCAGCGCCGAAGAGAACAAACUUCAAGAGUUACCCUCUGCUAUUGCCGAUUUGACACGGGAGAGGCAGCGUUUUGCUCAAGAGGCUCUGAGACUCCACCGCAACGCAUCGGAGGUCCCUGGAUCGGCAGAAGAAGACCAACGGGUUCUUGAUUCUGCCGAUCAGAUCCGGCGUCGGGCCAUCACGGCUAUCGAUACCCUUUUGGGUGAUCUGUAAAACACUGACCGUUUUGUACGAACAUUUACUACCUUCUUUGACCGACCCUUCGCGACGCCCUCUAUUUACUGCCUUCCUUAUUACCGAUGGGACGUGGCCUCAUCAGAUUUCCACGUAUUUUCCCCAUAAAUAUCGACCUCGGCGCCUACUCCCGAUAGCAUCGACUCGGCUCCCAUUUCGCUUUUCCUCUUCUUCUCAUCAGUGCGACUAUUUCGUCAUGGCCUCAUCGUCAUCCUCUUCUGUCAACCAGGUGAAGUCCCGACCUCCCCUCUUAGAUCUUAGGAAACGAAUACUUCACCUUAUUCCUUCUUUGUUUCAGCCCCAACGCCUUGGUCCGGAGCUCGUGCGCGCCAUCGAGUGCAUCCACUCCGAGGACCCGUUGACCCCGGAGGACAAGGCUCUGAUUCUGGCCCACCAAGAGGAGCUCCAAGACCACAUUACUGCAGAGGCUCGUGCAGUCUUGGAUGCCGUGGUGAAUGAAAGCCGUCGCCGAUCUCCAGUCAUGAGGGGUCGUCGUUGUGACGUUCCUGUAGAUGACGUCACUUCGACAGCCCGCGCGAUCCUGGGCUACCUGGAGAGGAACGGCGGCCAGCGGUCUUCCACCGAUAGGGUCCGUCUGCUUCCUCGGCCCGUCAUCCUGGCGGCGGCAAAGGCCUCGCGCCUUCGUGCUUUGGAGCGGAAUGGGAAGUCAUCUCAGAAGAAGAACAAUUAGUUUGUUUUUUGUAAUUUUUUUGUUCUAAGGGCGACUAAUGUUUUGUCGGCCAUGUAAUCUGUCGCCCGUACCGAAUGAAUGUAAUCGGCCACUCCGGUCGAUUUUAUGUGCUUCUUAAACCGACUUGUAUCGGCUGUGUAUGAUUGUGUUACGGUUGAUUUCUUAGGCUCCAACCCAUAUACUUGGGUAAUAUCUUUUUAAGUACCUUCCAUUCAGAGCUCUAGUGAAUUCUUCUCCUUCUAUUGUUUCCAAAAUGUAGGCAUUCCCUAGAGCGCAUCUGCCGAUUUUAUACGGCCCUUCCCAGGUAGGAGACCAUUUGCCGAAUUUAGGAUCUUUCAACCCGAUCGGUAGUACCAACUUCCAUACCAAGUCUCCGGGGGAGAACUGCUUGACUUUGACCUUCUUAUCGUACCACCUGGCCACCCUCUUUUUAUUCUCCUCGACACUUAUCAGAGCCCUUAGUCGUUGGCCGGCCAAAUCAUCAAGUUCUCCUUUCAUCAGAGAUGAGUAAUCAUCGGCUGACAACUGGUCCUGAAGUGAAAUGCGCCUUGAUCCUGCCCUCGACUCCCAUGGCAGUACUGCAUCAUGACCGUAUACCAACUGAUAGGGAGAUAACUUAGUGGCCCCAUGACAGGCCAUUCUGUACACCCACCGGGCUUCAGUCAAACAUAGGUGCCACUUCUUUGGGUAUUCUUCAAUCUUCCUUUUGAUCAACUUGAUUAUUCCUUUGUUGGAAGAUUCUGCUUGACCAUUGGCUUGAGCGUAAUACGAAGAAGAAUUUAACAACUUGAUGCCCAUAUCGGUCGUAAAUUCCUCAAAUUCCCCCGAUGUGAACAUUGUUCCUUGAUCGGUUGUUAUAGUUUGAGGGAUACCGAAUCGGUAGAUGAUAUGGUCCCUUACGAAAUCGGCCAUGAUAGCCGAAGUCACGGUCCUUAAUGGGAUUGCCUCCACCCAUUUGGUGAAGUAAUCAGUAGCCACCAGAAUAAACUUGUGCCCCUUGCUCGAUGGUGGAUAAAUUUGGCCGAUAAGGUCUAUUCCCCACCCUCUGAACGGCCAUGGUUUGAUGAUGGGAUUCAUGGCCGACGCGGGUACACGUUGGACAUUUCCAAACUUUUGACACUCCUGACAACCCUUAUAAUACUUGAAACAGUCUUCGAGGAUCGUAGGCCAAUAGUACCCAUUGUUUCUGAUCAUCCACUUCAUCUUAUGUGCCGAUUGGUGAGCUCCGCAUACCCCUUCAUGGAUUUCUCCCAUUAGAGUCUUGGCUUCUUCUGUCCCAAGGCAUUUAAGAAGGACACCGUCGAUCGUUCGGUAGAACAGAUCAUCUUCGAGCAGUACGUACUUGGUGGCGUGAAAGCGUACUCGUCGCUCCACCUUUUUAGACGGAUCCUUCAGGUAAUCGGCAAUUUCUUUACGCCAAUCAUCGGCUGCAAGUUCUAAGGCCAUGGCGCCCAGAAUCGGCCGAUACCCAGAUGCGUGCUGGGCGAGUUUGUUCGCUUCCUCGUUGCGAUCUCUUGGAACAUGCUCGAUUACUGCUGAUCUGAAUCCUUUUAAAAGCUGUACGCAAUCUUCAUGAUAGAUUCUUAAUAUGUCAUCUUUGCACUCAGCCCUUCCGGUUAGUUGAUCCACAAUUAGCAUAGAAUCCCCGAAGAUCUCAACAGAAUCGGCCUUGACUUCUCUCAAUAAUUGUAAGCCUUUCAAUACGGCUCUAUACUCCGCUUGAUUGUUAGUGGCGGCGGUUUCUAUCGGCAGAGAAAAAUCAUAGCUUGCCCCCCGAGGCGAUAUGAGAACGAUGCCGAUUCCUGAUCCGACCCCGCAUGAUGACCCGUCAAAAAAUAAUUGCCAAGGUGCUAGUUCCACGAGGGCGAUCUCCGGUCCACAGUGCUGGGCGACGAAAUCGGCCAUGACCUGACCCUUGACGGCUUUUGCCGAUUCAUACCGUAGGUCAAAUUCUGAUAAAGCUAAGAUCCAUUUACCGAUUCGUCCUUUCAAUAUCGGCAGUGAUAGCAUGUAUUUCACUACAUCAUCUUUGCAUACGACUACGCAUUCUGUCGACAGUAGAUAGUGCCUGAGUUUGGUGCACGAGAAGUAAAGAUACAAACACAAACGCUCUACCGGAGGAUAUCUUGUUUCGGCAUCCAAGAGUCUUCUACUGACGUAAUAAAUUACCCGUUCUUUGCCUUCAAACUCUUGGACUAGAGCCGACCCAAUAGCUUUUUCAUCGGCUGAUAAAUACAGUUUAAACGGUUUACCAGUUUGAGGGGGGGACCAAGACUGGCGGUGAGACCAAGUAUCGCUUGAUAUCCUCUAACGCCUUGCGCUGUUCUUCUCCCCAUAUGAAUUCCUGGUCGGGCUUCAACUUCAGAAGUGGCGUGAACGCCUGGAGUCGUCCAGAUAGAUUAGAUAUAAACCUUCUGAUGAAGUUUACCUUGCCAAUUAGAGACUGUAGCUCAGUUUUGUUCUGUGGAGCAACGACUUUGUUGAUGGCCGCUAUGGUCUUCUGAUUGACUUCUAUACCUCGUUCGUGCACCAUGAAUCCUAAGAAUUGUCCGGCGGAGACGCCGAAAGCGCAUUUGUUGGGAUUCAUCUUAAGACCAUGCUUUUUGGUACACUCUAGCACCCUUCGCAAAUCGGCCAGGUGUUCCUCGUGGCUUUUGGACUUGACCACAACAUCAUCGAUGUAGAUCUCCACCAGGAGGCCAAUGAGUUUGUGAAAAAUGUAGUUCAUGGCCCUCUGAUAUGUAGCGCCAGCAUUCUUCAAGCCGAAAGUCAUCACCACCCACUCGAAUAAACCGAGAUGUCCCGGACAUCUGAAAGCCGUUUUGGGUAUGUCCUCUUCGGCCAUAAGUAUUUGAUUGUAUCCGGCGUUUCCAUCCAUGAAGCUAAUAAUUUUGUGUCCCGCGGCGGCGUCGAUCAGUACAUCGGCCGUAGGCAUGGGGUAACCAUCCAUCGGUGUGGCCUGAUUAAGAUUCCUGAAAUCAACUCAAACGCGCAGCUUCCCGUUUUUCUUGUACACUGGCACGAUAUUAGAAAUCCACUCGGCAUAACGACAUUGCCGAAUAAACUUUGCUUCAAUUAGCCGAGUUAUUUCAGCUUUUAUGUCUGGUAAAAUUUUAGGAUUGCAUCGCCGUGCGGGUUGUUGGUACGGCCGAUACCCUGGCUUUAUGGGUAGCCGAUGUUCAACAAUAGAUCGAUCUAAACCGGGCAUCUCGUGAUACUCCCAAGCAAAACAAUCCUUGAAUUCUCUUAAUAAAUUUGUCAAUUUACACUUAUACUCUGGGUCUAAAUCUGCACUAAUAAAAGUCGGCCUUGGUUUGGUUCCGUCACCUAAAUCUAUCAUCUCUAAUGAAUCGGCCGACGUGAAUCCGUGCCCCAGCUUCCCGUCUUCUCAGGCGAACUGAUCCAUCUAUUGCGCUUCUUCGGAGCCGACUGCUCGGAUCGGCUGUAGGCCAAAAUCGGUGACCUUCAGGAAAUUGGUUUCCCACACCCUACCUGAUAUGCAUCUGACGGUUUCGCAGCUCCAUUGCUGUGCGUCGGCUGCUGCGAUGCUGUACGCGAAGUCGGCUUUGACCACCUCGAUGCUAUCGCCGACCCAUUGUACGAGGCACUGAUGCAUAGUUGACGGGAUGCAGCAGUUUGUGUGUAUCCAGUCUCGGCCAAGAAGCAUAUUAUAGGACCCUUUGCCAUUAAUGACGAAAAACGUGGUAGGAAGAGUCUUACUGCCGAUGGUGAGGUCGACGCAGAGAGCACCGCAAGCGUUUGACACCUUGCCUUCGAAGUCCUUGAGCAUCAUGUCCGUCCUAGUUAGGUCGUCGUCGCUCUUCCCCAGCUUCCGGAGUACGGCAUACGGCAUGAUAUUGACAGCAGCUCCUCCGUCGACCAUCAAUCUAGUGAGGGGACGACCGUCAACAUGCCCUUUAAGGAACAACGCCUUCAUAUGUUGUCGUUCGUCGUCUUCGGGCUUUUCGAACGUGGCCAUCAUUGGUUCUAAAGCCAACCGCACUGUCUGUUCCUCUAUCGCCGAUACGUCCUGUUGAUCGGCAGGGGUCAUGAACUCCAUCGGCAAUAUGAAAACCAUACCGAUCUCGACUGCCGAUUCAUCACCCGCCGACUCAUUGUUUCCCUUGUCGUUUCUUUUGGGGCGCCACACCCGAGGCCUCCCUUCCUUCUUGUCCAUCGCGCUCUCUUCCUCUUGCUGUUCCCAUUGGCGGAGGCGUUGGAUCCUCCAUUUUUGUGAUUUGGUUAAACCAUCGGGGCACCACCUGGGGUUUAUUGGCCUUCCUUCUUUCCUGGCGCGUUCCCACUCCGGCUCGCGUCCUAACGGGUUCUCGUCCGUUACCCGAGCGUCGGCCAUAUCUUCGAGCCGGCUGUGAACGCUGGCUUUGCUAUUUGAUUGAUCAUGUCGAUCAGCCCUGCCCCCCUGCCUAUUAUGGCUUCUUUCCUCUGACCGAUCAUAUCGGUCACUUCUGCCCCCCAGCCGAUCGCGCAUGGGAGGGCGCUGGUCAUCUGGGUUGCGCCAAUUCCUGCUGAUCGGCUCUGGCCUUCCGUCUCUGGAGCGAGACCUGGUGAACGGCCGAUUGCCUCGAUAGGGGCCGUUGCACUCUGGGCAAGUAUCGGCCGAUGGUAGUCUGAGGUUAUUUUCCCAACAAUGAAUGAAGAACGGGCAUCUCCAGUGCUCUUCGUGCCGACGCAUCGCUUCCUCUCGGGACCUCGAACGUUCAUGUUGGCGUUGGUACUUUUGGAGCAGGAACUGGGAAGUAAUGCGUGGCCCCUCUGACUCAUCAUCAUCGUCCUCCAUUCAUCGUUUUCCUUUGAUAUCUUCAGACGUAACUUGAUUUCUGGGAUCGACAGCGCCACUCUUUUUGGCCGACUCGGACGUUAGCACUUUUGUUUGGAGAGAAUUCUUUUCCGUAUCAACCAUGUUGGUAGGAAAGGGGUGCUGGUCGAUCUUCAUUGGUUUGGCCGAUUUUGCUGGCACUUCAAAUUUGAGUCUGCCUUGCUCAAUGGCCGACUGUAUUUGUUGCCUGAAGAUUUUGCACUCGUUGGUAUCAUGUGAUGUGGCAUUGUGCCACUUGCAAUACUUCAUCUUUUUCAAUUGUUCGGCAGAGGGUAUUGUAUGGUAAGGCGAGAGUUUAAUCUGCCCUUCCUGGAGUAGAAGAUCGAAGAUUUUAUCAGCUUUAGUUGUAUCGAAACCGAAUACUUCCAGCUCCUUUUUGCCGAAUGGGCAUGAUAUCGGCUUCUUUCCCUUAAUCCACUCUGCAAGUCCGAUUUCGGCAUCUUCCUCGUCCUCUAAUUCUUCCAGGAAUGCAACUUUCUUCUGGAAAUUCCUUCUCGGGUCGAAUGGACGCACUUCCUGCCCGGACAAUCGGUGGACAAUCUGGCUCAGGCUCUCGAACUCUUGUGAAGCAUAUUUCUCUUUAAUGUGUGGCAGCAGGCCUUGGAAAGCUAUAUCGGCCAACUGCGCAUCGGUUAGAGCCAGGGAGUAGCAUUUGUUUCUGAUUUCCCGAAACCUCUGUAUAUAUGAGGGUAUCGGCUCAUCACUUCUUUGCCGGAGGCUAGUCAAAUCAGACAGCUUCAUUUCAUGGACCCCAGCAUAGAAGUACUUGUCGAACUGUCUUUCUAUAUCGGCCCAUGUGAUAAUUGAGUUUGGUGGCAAAGUUGUGAACCAUUGGAAGGCCGAUCCAGACAAGGAUGACGAGAACAACCGUACCCGCAGGGCAUCUUGCGUAGCUGCCUCUCCGCAUUGGAUGAUGAAUCUAUUCACAUGUUCUACGGUAGAGGUGUCAUCCAUCCCCGAAAAUUUGGUAAAAUCAGGAACUUUGUACCGAUGGGGGAACGGCAACAAGUCAUAUGUAGAUGGGUAUGGUGUUCUAUAGGUAUAAGUUUGCAUUUUCGGCUUCAAGCCGAAUUGUUCUUGCAUUACCUCCGCAAUUUGCGCCGACCAAUCUGGUUGUUGCUGGGGAACAGUUGGCUGUGGUAUCGGCACGUGCUGAUAAAUCGGAGGCUGAAUAAAAGGAGAUUGAUGAAAAGGUGGUAUCUGAGUGUAAGCUGGCGGUGUAGUAAAAGUUGGUUGUUUGUAUGAACCACUUGUUUCAUCAUAUAGCAUGAGCUCUGACGUCUUGUUGACCUCCGGAGCGACAGGCUGGUAUGGUGGUAUGAUCGGCCGGGUGGCCGUUUGGGAGUGUGUCUGGAACGGAGGAUUUCCUUGACUGACCGAUUGGUUCAGACCGGCCACGUUUAAAGGUGCCCCCCAGGGUGAAGGGCUGACUGGAGGGAAUGGCGCAGAGGAUAGUUGGGUAGAACCAUAUCCCAAAGGAGUUGAUGACGCAGAAGCACCGGAUCCUCCAACAGAAGAUUGGAUCGGUUGUGAAGCCGGAUAAGCCUGAUUUGGUGGAAUCGGCUGAAAAUACGUUGGUCCCCUGUACCCUUGAGGUAUACCUCCGGCGAAGGAGUUGACAACGGCAUUGUGCACCAUGUUUGAAAGCACCGGGGAUUGAUUGAUGAAGGCAUGAUGAAGAGAUUGUUGAAUCAUAUCGGACAUUUUAUCCGAAUCCUCGGAAAUUGUGAUUUGUCGGGGAGUAGGGAAAGGAGUCUUUUUAACAGUCUCCCCGCUCCUGGAACGACUGAAGGAUUUUAAGCAAGUUUUCCGGACUUGUUCCAAAUACUUAUUCAGAUCUUCCUUUUGGUCGUCCUUUAGAUCUGCUUCCGUCACUUCGAUGACGUUAUCUUCGGAGACUUCAGCAGCUUUCGACAUGUUAGCAGCUGUAUUGGUCCCCCUGGGCGUGCCAAAAGUGUGUUGGCGCUAGAAAUCGGUCAACCGAAUCCCAGCGACCGACACACGACCCGGGAGAAUCUGCUUAGCUCCUGUUCGGGUGAAUGCCCUGAUGCGGUUCGCGCGGCGUGCCAGCCAAUCUGACCUGUUGAUUGGCAAGGAAGAACACGUGUCAGGUUCAGAAACUACGAUCGGCUAAGUUUCCGAUCGAGAGAGUUUAUCAGCGGAUCGACCGAUUUACUGUGAUAAUGAAAUCGGCUAUAAGACAGCACGAUCCCUGUAGCCUUGUAGACGGAAAAAUACUAAAGUAAUCGGUACAAAGCUUGUGAUAACAGCACUAGGAAAAGAUCUAAUCGGCAACGGAUGGAUCUAACGAUAGAAAAUAAUGAAAGCCGAUACUACCGAUUCCUAGCGGGAUAAUUGAUGAUAAAAACUAGGAAAACAGGUAAAAACCUAUGAAUCUAGUUGAUAUCGAUAACUGAUGAAUAAAUCUAAACGAAAUAACAGCGAUGCGCCGGAAGUUAAAGCUUAGAUAUUACUCGAUAAACGGAACUUACAGAAUCGGCCGGAGAUCAAGAUGAUGCAGCCCUGCCAAUCCGCACGAACUCGUGAGAAGAAAAAAGUAACGGCGAAGUCGCCUGCUCGAAAGUAAGUACGAAGAAGAAAGUAACUUGUUGUAUUGAUUGGUUGAUGAUUACAGAUUUACAAAGGUAGCUAUUUAUAGCCCCGUACAGAUAACUUCUUAACCGACUAGAAUUCUAUCUCUAAUUUAAACAGAAAACAAACAUCUACAAGCACAAUUCAUGCUAGGUUAGUUAUCCCACGCUUCGUGGGCUGACCCCCACCUUAUCCUUCCAUCCCUUUCCAAACCCAUACAGGCCCAAUUAGCCCAUCCUCUUAAUCGGCCGAUUUCCCAUCGGCAAAAGAUUACCGAUUGGGAUUCUGGUGCAUUCAUCCUGAAGUGAGACAAAAGUCGUCAGCCGAUCCCGCACUACAGCACCAUUUGACCGAUUCCCAACUGUAGUUCUCCGAUUUCUUUCUGCUUGGCGCCGAUUCUACUGGUGACGAAAUCCGGCGUCAACACAUACAUAGACUUUGGCAAGAUGUGACCCUCCGGGAGCAGGCUCCCAAAAACUGUCAACAUAAUAUCGAAGGCGUCUCGACUCAAGCUAAACUAGGACUUCACGGCCAUUAGACGUGCAAUGGCAUCCAGUUGAGAGACCUUGGUAUGCCCGUGAAGGGGUUGUUGUGCCAUAGACAACAUGUCGUAAUACGCCUUUGCGGUAGCCUCGGGCUCCUCCUCCCUAUGAGCUUCAUGAUAGUCAUCUAACAUGUCUCCCACCCCGGCGUCAUCAUCAUAUUGCUCGAUACGUUGUCUGAUGACCUCGUCCCUCCCACGAUCGACCUCACCAUGGUAGAUCCAUAUGGUAUAGUCUAACGUAAAUCCGUGCCUAACAAGAUGUUUACCCAUUCCUAACUUGGUUUGCCGACGCAUGUUUCCACAUUUGCUACACGGACACCAAGUUUCUCUUCCUCCUUUGAUCCUUGCAAAUGCCCGUUCCAAGAAAGCAUCGGUCUUGUUUAUCCAUUCAUCGGUCAACGAAUUCUGACUAGAUCGGCCCGUGUACAUCCACUGACGAUCCUCCAUCCUCUAGCAUACCAACGAGUAAUAUAAACACUCAAGUUGCAUCUACACGUUCCUAUAUUGUCUAUUAGGUAAAGAUAGGUCCUAAUCCCACACGAGGAUGUGUAGGUGGGAUUACUUUCCAUGGUCUACUCGUUGGCAGGAUAGAGGGUGGGGGGUCGGCAGUGGCUGGACACGUGCUGAUCUAGAUAGGACUUGAUGACGGAUGAAUGGAUAAACAGGACCGAUGUGUACGUGGAACGCGCAUGGGCAAGUGAUGUAGGGAAGCAAGAGAAACUUAGGUGUCCGUCAUACGUAGAUUGUGGUAAACAUGCGUCGGAAACUAUAGUUAGGGAUGGGUACNNNNNNNNNNNNNNNNNNNNNNNNNNNNNNNNNNNNNNNNNNNNNNNNNNNNNNNNNNNNNNNNNNNNNNNNNNNNNNNNNNNNNNNNNNNNNNNNNNNNNNNNNNNNNNNNNNNNNNNNNNNNNNNNNNNNNNNNNNNNNNNNNNNNNNNNNNNNNNNNNNNNNNNNNNNNNNNNNNNNNNNNNNNNNNNNNNNNNNNNNNNNNNNNNNNNNNNNNNNNNNNNNNNNNNGGCGGUCGGGUUCGCCCGGGUAGGGGCGCCGGCGGGGCGGUGGCGGUGGGCGCCGGCGGGGCGGGGGCGGUGGCGGCCGGUGGGGCGGUGGCGGUGGGCGCCGGCGAGGCGGUGGCGGCCGGCGAGGCGGGAGUCGCGUCGGGCGCGGGGGCCGGCGGACGGGGCAACAGAGGCGCGGAAGUGAAUCGACGAGACGCUAAGUCGGGAGAUAACUUCGAAUCUUUGCCGAGUGCCCGCGAUCUGGCACUCGGCAAAGGCUUUGUCGAGUGCCAGAUCGGGGGCACUCGGCAAAGCACUAGUGUUUGCCGAGUGCUCAGAUCCAGGGCACUCGGCAAAGUUAAUUCGGGUUUUUUUUUUUGCAAGCGAGGCCGAAGAAAGUGGGCCCGUGCAACUAGUUUGCCGAGUGCACAUAGAAAACACUCGGCAAAAUACCAUUUUUGCCGAGUGUUUUAUGGGUACACUCGGCAAACGUUACAUGAAAUAACGUAUUUUAGUGGCCUUUUCCAAAUAUACUUGUUCAAAAUUGUGUCAAAAUCACUAAAAAAUUGUUAAAUUAGUUUUCUACCGAAAUUAUUCCAUUAUUUCAUGCAGUUAUAGCUCAAAUUCCAUUUAUAUCUAAUAAAAAUCUAUAAUUGCAUUUAAUCAAUAAAAAAUAUCAAAUGCAUCCGAAAAAUUUCCAAAAUUUGACAUGAACCAACAUGUGUUGUAUGUUGCCUGUACAAAAAGAUUUGAAGGCACUCCUUAAUUCAAGUGUCACUUGAACACCAAAUCUUAUUGGCUCCUUUCUAACUUCUAUGAAUCCUUCCAGGAGAUUAGUCGGUUUCUAAGCAUCAUAGGUCAGAAAUUGGGCGAAACGUUCUCAAUUUUUUACCACAGCCUACACACAUAAUAUAAUGACAUCUUGACAAAUCUUGUGAUUUUCAGAUUUCGUUUGGUUUUUUACAAUUUAACAACCAUUGAACCACAGGUUCGUGGUCGUGUUUUUUAAAAACAAUGUUCAAAAUUUCUUUUCAUUUUCUGGUUGAGACCUCAAUUUGGUCUCCAUAAUAUGAAUAUGAUUUUUUCACUGAUUUCAAUCCAUUAUUUCAAGUACUUGUAGUUAAAAUUUGACUUCAAUCAAAAAAUUCCUAUUAAUGCAAACAAAGCAUUAAAAAUCCCAAACAGACCCGAAAAUAGACCAAAUUUUAAUAUGUAUAACCAAAUGUCCUACGUGGGGAGUAGGAAAAGUGUGGAAGCUGUUGGAAGGAAUUUUUUUUUUGUUUGCCGAGUGCCCCUAGGAUGGCACUUGGCAAAGUGUUGCGUUUGCCGAGUGUCCGGCUGAGGCACUCGGCGAACUUUUGAGUGUGCCGAGUGUAUGCGUCUGGCACUCGGCGAACCAGACUUUGCCGAGUGUCACACGGCAAACACUCGGCAAAGGUGUAACGGCCGUCCCACCCUGUUAGUGCACGACGCACGUGCGCCGCACGCGAUACUGAUUUACCGAGUGUGUCUUCUUUGCCGAGUGUCGAGGAGUUGUUUGCCGAGUGCCUGAUUUUUGGCACUCGGCAAACCUCCUUUUUGCCGAGUGUUUUAUGUUCGCCGAGUGCCUCAUUGUGUACACUCGGCAAAGAUGGUGUUUGCCGAGUGCCCGAAAGAAUGCACUCGGCACACGUUUUACACUCGGCGAAUUUACUGUUUCCGGUAGUGAUUGAUGACAACACCUUGAGGAGACGCGUUUCUGCGUGUUUCUGGGUGAAUAGAGAGAAUCUUUUAACACAUUUGAUUUCUGACAUUUACCAUGAAACUAGCCAUUGUAAGCUUAAGUUGCUGUCUAUUGUCUACAUCACCAAGUGUAUAGAAUUUCUGUCCAUGUUAUUUAUGACCAUUUUACUUGCAUGGCUUUAUAGGACAGAAUGUUGGCCAAAGUCUUGAUUACAGAGAAGCGUAUGAUAUAGCAGCUGCAAGAGCCGUUGCAGAACUGAAAGUUCUAGGUAUGUGAUAUUUGAAUUCCUGUUACGAGACCUGUUAUGGAAAAUUUAUCUGGAUUUCUCUUUUGCAGCGGAAUACUGCCUUCCAUUGGUUCGUGUUGGUGGUUUGUUCAUAGCUGCAAAAGGUCAUGAUCCCCACGUAAGUCUUGGAUUUCUUAUUUAACUAGCCUUCUGAUACCAUUGUAUUUUCCAUCAAACCUAAGAACAUAGUUUCUAUGAAUAUGUAUUGCUGACUUGCUCUAGUUGCAUGCUUUUCUUAUAAUCUAAUUUCACAUUUCCUUGACAGGAAGAAAUAAAAGAUGCUAAAAGUGCUGUACAGAAAUUGGGUGCUUCCAUGCUCGAAUUGUGUAAUGGUAAAAUAUUCCUAUCCUUCCUUAAUGCUUAAUUGCUUAUAGAAGGCAUUGCACUAAAUAUGUUGUAAUCUGCAUAUAAGCAAUUUUACCCUCUCUUAACCUAAAUGUAGAAGUGCGAGUUUGUUCCCUUUCUGACUAAAUGGCAUCUUUCCCUUGUAAAGUUUCUCUGGAUUAGAUAAUACUGAUGAGUAGUCAUAUUUCUAUUUUGCAUAUUUUAAUGCCUGUUGCCAUUUCAGCAAACAAUUGCUAACCUGAUUCCUUUCUAAUUCUCAUGAAUAUAGUUAUGUUGCUUCUAUGUCUUGUGCAUCCAGCCUUUCAGGUUAUGAUAAGCAUAGAAUUCUUGGUAACAUGCUAAGCCAUAGUUUCUUUUCAGCUGAAUCAAUGGGACCUCAUGGUCAUCGGACGGCUGUUAUAUACUUUAAAGAACGAGCUACUCCAAAAAAAUACCCGCGCCUUCCAGGUAUUUCCCAUGUGCCAUCAUGAAAAAGCAUCUAGUGUUGGAAAUUUUAUAAUAACUGAAGCUGAAAUGUUCCACUGGCUACACCCAGGUACUCCUUCCAAGAUGCCCUUGUGAGAAGCGUGUUAUUGUUGGUGUAGACCUUUUGCAACUGCUAAAAUCUGAAAAUCACAACUGAUCUAUAUCAGAGGUCAUCAACUGGAAGAUGUCUUUGUUAGAAGCACAGAGUAAUCGUGCUACCUUACAAUCAUAUCCUCACUCUGCUGUUUUGGGCAACUAAUUAGCUUGUCCUACACUCCUACUCGUCAUAUAUUUAAAACGGAUGGGAGUAGUUUCUAACAGGAUUCAGUAACUCUGCUCAAUCGAAUGAGACUGAAAAGUUUAUUGGUGUUCAUGCAACUGUCAGAACUGGACAUUUUCACGAAGUGCAAUAGGUUGAUGUACCAAUUGUAUGAAUCCUCAGUUCCUUUCAUGACUUGUAUCUUGUGGACGGUUUGGAAUUGGAUAGUUCUUGAAUAAGAAACUAGCAAAUGAGACCUUUAGGAUACGUGCUGUCGUAUACUAAUGUUAGUUCUUGGACCUAGACAAUGGCGCCGUAGUCAUCAACUGCUACGGCCCCAAGCUGUUCUAUUCCAUGCUAUCAUGGAUUCAUGGAUGUGUUUCCCUUUAACAUAUUUCAAUGACUAGGGCCAACUUGAAAGAAUUUAUCUUAAUUUGUCACCUACAAAUAACAUUAUCAAACGCUAAUUGCGGCAACGCAUGCGCGUCAGCACAUGGGUACCAUCAUUGCUCUCUCUUAAACAUCCUUCUCUGCCUGCCUGUAGCCCUGUGCCAAGUAGCAACCUGCCAAAGCCGGCUGCUAUACUAUUCUAACCAAAGAGGAACAAGGAGCAAGAACUAAGAAGCUUCACAUCUACUCCUACCUUCUCAGGAACAAGUCACCACACGGGCCCUGUCACCAACACAACACACAACAAACACGAGACUUAUUCCCCAGCUUGACCAAACCAAACUCGCAAACAAGCAAGGACGGGUUCUGUCGUCCAAGCCGUCCCUUGCCGGCUGACCAAGUAGUCGUCGUUGGACCUGUCAGCCCUUCAAAUUAAAACGCCUACGAGUUGUGCCGCCUCAUCCAUUCUCACCUGUACCUUCAAUUCCUUUCUCCCCGGACGAUGACCAUGGCCAGCACCACCUCUCCUCUCCUCGUCCUGCUCUCCGCCAUGGCGGUGGCGGCGCUCGUCGCAGCACCAGUCUCGUCGGCGGACCUGCCAUCCACCUUCGCGGACAUCGCGUCCAAGAUCCCCAACCCGUGGUCGGCCUUCAGGAACCUCACCGGCUGCCACUUCGGCGAGGAGCAGCAGGGCGUCGCCAAGCUCAAGGACUACCUCGCCCACUUCGGCUACCUCCCGGAGUCUUCCGGGUUCACCGACAUCUUCGACGCCGACCUGGAGGAGGCCAUCAAGGUGUACCAGCGCAACUUCGGCCUCAACAUCACCGGCGUGAUGGACGCGACCACGG
rnacentral:lncRNA from 1 species